CAUUCCAUGACAACUGGUAAAUUAGCAUCAUCCCUCCAUCCAAAGGGAAUUAAAAACCACGAAGAUACAUUAUUCUGGGACAGUAAGACAGUUAACAGGAAGGCAAUAUGAUUUAGGAGCCAAAAAUAUAAACAAUGCUUUUCACACUACAGGUUUUCAAUGUAUUCAUAGUCUUAAACUUAAUAAUAAUGAGAUUAUUAUUUAUUGGAAGAAUUUAGUUGUAUUAGUUGAGAGAGCUAAAGGAAAAGGAACACUCCUAGUAAGGGAAAGGUUUCGUCUAUUCCCGAAUUUUACAAUCCUUGAUUUUUAAGUCAUCUAGUGUUCCAGAAUUGUUUUCAUUUUACAUUUAGCUUAGUUGAAGCAGGAAGCAUUGCAUGAGUUUCCUUCAACCACUGACAAAGCAGAAACUUGCAAACAACCUGGUUCUCCUGAGGCCCAGACUUUAGAAGGCUCCACCAUGCUACUUAUGCUUUAAAACAAAAAUUUCCCCCACUUUGUGUUUUAUACAGAUCUCAGUGCUAGAAGACAGGUUCACGUUUUUGUAGAGGAUGUUGAGUUUCGUAUGACCAGGGUUUAUAGUUGCAGACAACUGAAGCUUACGUUGUAUGAUUUAUUCUCACAGAAUUUCUGGUAAUGAUGCAGAAGUAGGCUUGGAAACCAAGCAGAAGACAGGAAGGUAUUUAGCAGCCUGGAAGAUGCCUGAUAAACCCAGUCUGAUGAGGGCUCUCCUACCUUCACCACUCAACACUCUGCUGCUACCAGAAACUGGAUGCCAUUGGAUAAGGGUUGUCAGACAAAAUACAAGGACACAAUUGGAGAAACCGGUUAUUUUACCAAAGCUUUGGAAUGGUGUACUUUCCCUUAAGGAAUCAAAUAUGACUUAUGGAAACAAUAAAAGUCCCUUGGGAAAACUGGCCUCA